rnacentral:rRNA from 1 species
UUACAAUGGAGAGUUUGAUCCUGGCUCAGGAUGAACGCUAGCGGCAGGCCUAAUACAUGCAAGUCGAACGAGAUU